AAAUAUAUAUAUAUAUGUGUGUAAAAAUAUGUGUAAAGGUGUCAAUCCAUUACGGCCUUUUCCAACGAUUCAUUUAAUUGAUUAAUGAAAACAUUAGAUCAUUGUAAAGAAACCGUUUUCGUCGGAUGAAUUCACGAGCUUCAAACAUAA